rnacentral:rRNA from 1 species
GGGACGUUGCGAGCGAAUGGAUUAACAGCUUGCUCUUAUGAAGUUAACGCCGGACGGGUGAGUAACACGUGGGUAACCUGCCCAUAAAACUGGGAUAACUCCGGGAAACCGGGGCUAAUACCGGAUAACAUUUUGAACCGGAUGGGUCGAAAUUGCAAAGGGGCUUCCGCUGGCACUUUUUGAUGGAACCGCGUCCCAUUAGCUAGUUUGGGAAGUUACGGCCCCCCCAGGGGACCAUGGGUACCCCACCUGGAAAGGGGAACGGGCACACUGGGACUGAAACCCCGCCUCCCACUCCUUAGGGAAGGAGCCGUAAGGAAACUUCCCCCAUGGAAGAAAGGCCGACCGAACAACGGCGCGGGGAUGGUGGAGGGUUUUCGGCUCGAAAACCUCUGUUGUAGGGAAAAAAAGGGCUAGUUCAUUGACUUGUCUCCUUGAACGGAACCAACCCAAACAGCCGGGGCAAAUACGUCCCAAAGC